ACCUUCAGCAACGGAUGUCUUGGCUCCCACAACGAUGAAGAACGCAGCGAAAUGCGAUACGUAAUGCGAAUUGCAAAACCUCGUGAGUCAUCAAGAUUUUGAACGCACAUUGCGCUCCCAUGAAAUGCAUGGUAGCAUGCCUAUUUGAGUGUC
rnacentral:rRNA from 1 species